CAUGCUAGUCGAACGCACUUUCGUUAAUUGAUUUUGAGAUGCUUGCAUCGAAGAUGAUUUUAACUAUAAAGUGAGUGGCGAACGGGUGAGUAACACGUGGGUAACCUGCCCAGAAGUGGGGGAUAACACCUGGAAACAGAUGCUAAUACCGCAUAACAAAAUUAACCGCAUGGUUGAUUUUUAAAAGAUGGCUUCGGCUAUCACUUCUGGAUGGACCCGCGGCGUAUUAGCUAGUUGGUGAGAUAAAGGCUCACCAAGGCAGUGAUACGUAGCCGACCUGAGAGGGUAAUCGGCCACAUUGGGACUGAGACACGGCCCAGACUCCUACGGGAGGCAGCAGUAGGGAAUCUUCCACAAUGGACGCAAGUCUGAUGGAGCAACGCCGCGUGAGUGAUGAAGGCUUUCGGGUCGUAAAACUCUGUUGUUGGAGAAGAACGUGUGUGAGAGUAACUGCUCAUGCAGUGACGGUAUCCAACCAGAAAGCCACGGCUAACUACGUGCCAGCAGCCGCGGUAAUACGUAGGUGGCAAGCGUUAUCCGGAUUUAUUGGGCGUAAAGCGAGCGCAGGCGGUCUUUUAAGUCUAAUGUGAAAGCCUUCGGCUUAACCGAAGAAGUGCAUUGGAAACUGGGAGACUUGAGUGCAGAAGAGGAGAGUGGAACUCCAUGUGUAGCGGUGAAAUGCGUAGAUAUAUGGAAGAACACCAGUGGCGAAGGCGGCUCUCUGGUCUGCAACUGACGCUGAGGCUCGAAAGCAUGGGUAGCGAACAGGAUUAGAUACCCUGGUAGUCCAUGCCGUAAACGAUGAAUGCUAAGUGUUGGAGGGUUUCCG
rnacentral:rRNA from 1 species